GCUGAGGAAGGGACGGACGGACGGACUGAGCGCUCUUGAGCACUGAAGAUCUUCCAGCGAUGCCAGCAGAAGAUGUGCUGGAGUACAGAGGUGUGGCUUUGCAGCAUGAGGAGAGGGCGUUCCUGUGUGUGACCAAUCUUUCCUGCAAAGCAACUGCUUGGUGCUGAUAGUGAGAACUGGAAGGCAACGUGUGCUGGAAGUCUUGCAGAUAUCUAAAAGCCUCAGGAUUUGGUAGCGUCACAUCUUCGCUCAUCGCCGAGACUAUUUGCCACGAGAUUUCUGACUUCAGAAGAAGGGCAUCCGCAUUAAAAAGAAAUCUGAAGAUUGUCUAAUGUGAGUUUGUGAGAGAAUCCUUAUCCAGGAAAUAGUGUUGUCAGCAGCACUGUUUGAAUUAAAGCUGCAGAUUGGAUCUACUCCUUCAUGCUGAUCUCAACUUUUAUGUAGGACAUAAAUUGAAUACAUUACAUUUUCUAACACGCCAGGCCAGCAG